UAUAUAAGUCUGUGUGUAAUGCAUGCAUUUAUAUAAGUCUGUGUGUAAUGCAUGCAUUUAUAAAGGUCUGUGUGUAAUGCAUGCAUUUAUAUAGGUCUGUGUGUAAUGCAUGCAUUUAUAUAAGUCUGUGUGUAAUGCAUGCAUUUAUAUAAGUAUGUGUGUAAUGCAUGCAUCUAAUAUACAAGUUUAACUUUCUGAAUGAAUUAAAUAAACGUUGUCAUGAUUUUCUAAUUUUACGACCAGCACCUAUAUUUUGAUAUUAAAUAUUAUUUACAUUAAAGACCAAGUUCACACGAUUUUUCUACACAUCUGCAGCGGUCUGUAGUACCAAUAAAUGCUUUAUGAGUCAACCUGAUGUCAGCACUAUCACCUAGUCCCCUGGACUCAUUAUCAGUGUUUGGAGCAAGUUAAGGAUUGGAUACAAUCAAACUUCCUCCAGUUAAACAAAAACAAGACUGAAGUUAUUUUCUUUGGAAACAAGAAGGAUAGGAUGGAGGUUAUUGCUCAACUUGGCUCCAGAGGAAAAAAGACAAAGACCCAGGUUAGAAAUCUUGGUGUCAUAACUGAUUCAAACCUGAGCUUCACAGGUCACAUUAAGGCUAUAACUAGAUCAGUGUUUUAUCAUCUUCAUCAAAUAGCACGACUCAGGGGCCUCAUGUCCAGAUAAGACCUAGAGAAACUCAUUCAUGCGUUCAUCUAGAGCAGGCUGGACCAUUGCAAUGGUCUUUUGACUGGUCUUCCCCAAAAAAGCUGCAGCUUAUUCAAAAUGCUUCUGCUAGAGUCAGCAAGAACCAAGAGAACCAAACACAUCACUGUUCUUAAAUCUCUACUCUGGUUACCAGUAAACUACAGAAUUGAUUUCAAAGUACUUCUACUAGUUUAUAAAUCACUCAGUGGUGUGGGGCCAGAAUACAUGUCAGAUCUAUGCUCAGCAGGACUCUUGAGUCAGCUGGUAGAACCGGGUCAGAACCAAACAGGGUGAAGCUGCUUGUAGCUACUAUGCUGCACACAGAUGGAAUCAGCUUCCACACGACCUCCAAUGUGCCCCAACUCAAGAAACUUUAAAAUCAAAAUUGAAAACCUUCAUGUUUUCAUCAGCUUUUGAAUCAAUGCUCUUAUGCUGCCUUCUGCACUGUAUUUGCUCACCCCUUAACUUUGUUUGUUUUUAAUUUUCAAAUUGUAUUUUCUGUCAUGCUGAUCUUAAUGUUCUUGAUAUUCUUGCUUAUGGAAAGCACAUUGAAUUGCCUCUGUGUAUGAAAUGUGUUAUAUAAAUAAAGCUGCCUUGCCUCUGUGGUUAAAAAGCUCUGGCGCUCCAUUUUCAUUAACUAGAAUUGAUCCAAAGAAGAGAGGAGGAGAAGAUGGCAGGAUUUGGAGUCUUGCGUUCUCAUAUUCGGACAUCUCGCCUCUGAUUGGCUAACAGCAACACAACUCUACCACUGACUCUGUCUGCUUUGCUAUGUUGAUGUUUUAUCUCCACAAAUAACACAAGACUGAAGGAGUUCUGCCAUGUUGUGGAGUUGCUAAUGCUAACGGUUACCUUCUAUUAGCCAAGAUGAGCUCUUCUCUCUCCUGGAUUCUUAAUGGCCUGUAUUUGUAUAGCGCCUUCUUAACACUCUACAAACCCCCAAGGCGCUUCACAACACAAUCAGUCAUUCACACUCUGAUGAUGAUGAGCUACAAUGCAGCCACAGCUGCCCUUGGGCGCACUGAGGGAAGCGGGACUGCUGAACACUGGCACCGGUCCUUCUGACCACCACCAACAGGCAAGGCGGGUUAAGCGUCUUGCCCAAAGACACAACAGCAGUAUUCAUAGGAACCGGUACCGAACCUGCAACAUUCCGAUUACUCUAGUUCCCGAGCUACUGCUGUCCUAAUCAACAACAGCCUUCAGUAUCUUGAGCCAAGAUGGGUGAGUCCUGGAAUGUUCAUUUUCAGUGUGACACAGAAUGGUCUGGCUUUUCUAAUUCAAGCGUUUCCUCGUCGAUUUUCUAUGUGUGACUAAUGCAGAAAAAAGGGGGUUGACUACUUUCACGUUUAGCCUGCAUGUUAAUCUCUGUGUGAUCAAUCAUAUUUCCAAAAUAAGUUAAAAAACAUUGUUUCUCAGUGAACUUGUUCUUUAAACAAACCUUUUGUUUAUAUAGAAAUCGUUGAAGAGUAGGUUGUUUAUUUUUUUUGUUUAGAUUACCUUUUGUUAACCACAUAUUUUACAAGUUAUCAAAAAAUACAAAAGUACAGCAGCGCCUUGUUUAGAAAAAAAACAUCCAACAUACUGAAUGCUGAACUCACUCCCCUAAACUGCUAUUUUAGAAACUUUUUUCAACUACAAUUGAGCUGAUAAAAACAAAAUUUUGCAAUCAGUUUUCAUUUCAUUCAACUAAAUGUAUGAUCCCACCCUUUGUUCCUGAAGCUUGGCACUGCACUGUAUUGUUGGACACAAAGAUAUCUUGUGAAAUUCUUGCCUGACUGCCUUCACACCACAGGCGAUUUAUUGGACAGCUGAGGGUCAGCUUCUGACGCACGACCAAAGUGUUCCUACAUGUGGAGCAGCAGCAGGUGAUAAAUGAGGAAAAGACAGGAAGAAAGACUAAAAUAACAUACACUCUUUUAAAUUCAUGCUGAACAUUAAUCUUUUAAAAUUCCAUUUAUUCACAUAUGAGUUAAUGGAGUUUGACAUGUGGGCACUUAUAGGGUCUUCAUGUAGAGAAGCCAUUUAAACUUCUCAGAAACCUUAAUUUAACCUUAAAUGUUUGAUUACUUCUAUGUCAAAAUCAAAUAAUAACUGAGCAUUUUUAAAAGCACAAGAGUAUACUCUUUGCAGUUUAAAUAUCUGUACUUAUUAAGUGUAAAGGACCAAACAUCUGUAAAACACUUUUGCACUUCCCUUCAGAUGCUAGCGGAUAGUUGCCUAGAAAUCUAGACAGACCACAGCAGCAGCAAAAAGUUUUUUCUCUGCAGGUCGUUUAUUCAGGUCUAUAUUCACUUAGGAUAGCUUACCAGGCUAAGGGGAUAAGGCAAAGGCUAACUUGGGCAUUUUUGUCUGAUUGGUUGGACUGACAUUGAUCAGAAACAUUUUAGUUAAAAUUCUAUAAUAAAAAUAAAUCAAAUUGGAAAGACAGGUGGUCCAGAAUGCUAUCUAUAACAAAAAGACCAUAGUGAUAUUUUGAAUCUUAUGGUGCACUGACAGCUAAGUAAACUCAGGGCAUAAAAGGUGUGUCAUCUGUUUUGCCUGAUUGGUUUGGAACAUUAAAACGUUUGCUCAUAUGUUUGCUGAACAUUAGCAAAUGAUACGGCAGGAAACGUGGUCAAAAAAACUUUCUAAAUUAUAAGUUUAAGACCAACAAGACGCAUGCAUCGAAAUUUUGUAUUUACCUUUUUUUUCAUUAAUCAUUUAUUUAUAUCCCUAAGACUUUAAAACAUCUAGAAUUCUGUAAGGUUAUACACAAGAUUUACUAUUUGUUAUGAUAAACAUCUUUACCAUUAACAACAGUUCAAAUUAACUUCUGACUAAAGUCAAGUUUUGAAAUUCAGUUGGAUUUUCUCCCAGGUCUUGCCUUUCAGAUCCCACUUUCAAGGGGGAGGGUCAUCUACACAACACUUCUUUGUAAGACAUCAUAGUUACAUCAUCGAGGAGGUCUUUUCCAGAGCUUCAUGCCCAUGCCACAUUAUGCAUUUUUAGGCUGUUGGACAGGACUACUUCAUGGCACACUGUGAGGAUUCUAGAGAGGUGGCCCGCUGGUCUAAGAUUUCAGUGAGCCAGACUGCCCGUCUUUAGCAGGACAUGCUAGUGAAGCGCACUCGUUGAAAGGCAUGUAUCACUAAAAGCCGACAGCUACCCAUGUCACACUGAUGAAAAGAGAAAAAAGCUCCUCCUUAACACUUCCUUUAUUAGGCUUCAAACAAAAAUCAAAAAAGAAAUGGUCCACGUGUUCCUGCAUGUAGCCUCCACUGUAGCUAAAGUUGCUAGUUCUACUCUUGCAUUGUACUCUCAUCACUCGUUUUUUGCGACACUCCCUGGGUGUAUUUUCAUUGGUCACUUGCAGACUGGAGUUGUAGGUUUUCUGACACUGCUUGAAGACUGUUGGAGGGUGAAUUUGGUCGUGAAAGUGCUCAAUAAGCUGUCCUUGGGCCAGUCGCGCUGGACGACCACAGAUAUUUAAAUCCCUCUCAAGUUCAUCGUUUUUUGACACGACUGUUCACAGUGAGGAAUUUGUCUAGGAUGGCCAGAAAGCUCAGUGUGGGCCAGGCUUUAGAGCCCUUGGAGAAGUUCCCCAGAAAUUCCAGGAAAUUGCUUUGCCUCCAUAGAAUGUCAAGCUUGACAUAUUUCCAGAGGCUCUGGGGAUAAUGCUGGAGGUGCACAGCCUUGAUCAGAUUUCUGCAUCACUAUACCAGCCCCAGAACUCUCUGGGGAUGCAGUUUCUUCCUUGUCCUCUGAUGCUGCAGCACCUUCAGUGUUUUUCAGUAUUGUCUUUUUAGAGUUUUAAAAACCACCUUUUAUACAGCAAACUCCAUAGCAAUCUGUGGUGGAAUAAAGGUCUGUACAAGUUUCAUUACUGAACAUGUUGCACACCAUCUUUUGAUGUGCAAGACACUUCAGGUUCUUGGUUCUGUGAGGGUUUGGGAAGACAACUCUCCCACAGAGUCGCAAAUCUGCAAAUCCCCAGAGGGUGUUUGAGUGUUUAGUUGAAUCCCUUGCCUCCAGUUUCUGUUCUAAGGUCCAAUCUCAAGCACCUUCUAUGUAAAACAUCACAGAUUGAUCUUAUUCCAGAGCCUCUAUAAUGGCCAUAGUUUAUUAUUAAUGCUUGAACUGUUUUUAGUAGAUAUGUCAGCAGUUGUCACAGUCAACCCUCUACCUGCGUUUUCUGCACCUUCAUGAGGUAUUUCACUAAUUUUGGUCCCCUGAACCUUCUCAACUGCUCUAGUGGCCACCCAACCAGCAAUGAGAGUUUCAAACUCUACCUGAGCAGCGGCAUGGCCAACCUCCAGAUCCCUCACAGGUACCGUCAGCACAAUAAACACAACGCAGACGGUUGCACUAACAUUACUUAGCCAGUUAGGAAUCAGAAUCAGAUCAGAAUCAGAAAAGGUUUAUUGCCAUUGUCAGUGAACAAACAAUUCACAAACUAGGAACUUGCUUUGGUACUAAUGUGCUACAUAUAACAUGAAUAAUAAGAUUAAAAAAUAGAAUAAAACUUUCAGCUAUAAGCUGAGGCACCAUUGUUUAUUUCCCUCUGCUCCCCAGUUACAUCGUGUUCUCCAUGGAUCAGUCAGUCAGCUUACUUGUUCUAAUGCACCAGUCGUUAUUCCAGCAGAGAAAUUGUUCUCUCUGUCAGGUUCUUCUAUUACCUCCUUGCUCUAAACAAAAUGAAAACAGAAUAGUGGGAACAGGGAAAGUGUUUGGUCUAUGACCCUGUUGAUGCAACAGAGGCAAUAGAGAAAGUAAAUCUCAUUAAAUGAUAACGCUAAAUGAUGUUCCAGUGACUUAUACAGGGAUUUUUUUAUUGUUCGCUACACAUAUUUAAUAUAUUACUACUACUACUGCUACUAAACUUUAUUUAUAUAGCGCCUUCACGUGGCCCAAGGACCAAACAAAGUGCUGCACAGCAGACAUAAACAUAAAAAAUAAAAACGUAUAAAACCAUUUAAAAACCAACAAAAACGUGUAGAUAAAAUCUUGGUGGGGCAGCAAAAAAGUGCAAAGCCAUCCGUUAAAGAGACUCUUCUUGAAUAAAAGCUAAAGAAUAAAAGUGUGUUUUCAGCUGGCUCUUAAACUUGCCGAGCGUGGUGGCCUGUUUAACCCAUGUAGGUAGCUCAUUCCAGAGCCUCGGCCCCAGCACAGAGAAAGCAUGACCCCCUCGAGAUUUCAGUCUGUGUUUAGGAACGACCAGCAGUCCUUGUUGUGCCGACCGAAGGUUCCUUGCGGGAACAUAAGGAUGGAUCAGAUCCGAUAGAUAACGACGAGCCAACUCGUUUAAACAUUUCAAAACAAACACCAGAACUUUAAACAAAAUUCUAAAAGAGACUGGAAGCCAGUGUAGGGAAUAUAUAUGCUGCAUGUCAUCCAUAAGACCCACAAGAGCUCCUUCACUCAACUCAGACCUAUUCCAGGCAUCGCAGUUUGUCCUUGGUUAAAGGUCCAAUUCCCAGCUGUCUACAGCAUCUCUGACUACACAUCUUCACAAGAGGAGAUGAUAUGCAUCUUGUGUCUCCUAAGUUUAAAGUCUUUGACACCUGUGGUUUCAGAUGAACUUGCUAUUGUUAGAAUGCUUGUUAUUUACCCAUGGUCACUUGAGGAGGUGUUGAACAUGUGUCCCUGCCUCCACAUGUCCUUCUCUUGUCUUGCCUUUCUCCUUGCCCCCAUUCAUAUAAUGAAGUAGUCACAGGUUGGUGCUGCAGCAUGCACUCAGAUCUAUAAAACGUCUGCAGAAUAAAAGCUCGGUUUGCUGUUUGAGACUCAACAUUACAUGAAACCAAAAUGGAGAAAAAAGACAUCACGAGCUGGUUUUGUGAAGCAUCAUAAAUUAGAAGAUGGAGACUCCCUUCAGAUGAUCUUGUCACAGCAACAGGAACCCAUGAGCCGCCUGGAAAGGGAGGAGGCUUAGGCUCCCUAUAUGUCACGAUUGCCCCCUAGUGGCUUGGACUUUGGACCUCGCUGUCAACUGAACCUGAAUACUGCUUCUUCUCUCCAGCAAGGGCCAGGACAGAGGGAACCAAUGGAAAGAGGAUCCUGUUGGGGAAGCCCUUCCUGCAGAUCCGGAUGCCUUCCAGAACACCGUUACAGCGCAGCUGGUGCAUCACCAGAGGGUUCUCCAUGGCCCCAGGAGUCUUGGUCUCAUUGGGGAUGAUGCAGCGUACAAAGUGGGGAUACUGGACGUUGUCUAAGGACGGGUUCAUGUGAGAUGAAGGUCAACGCUCGUGUCCACCUCACACCCAUCUCUCCUCCUCACCUCAUUCAUACAAGACUGUGAUCUCGUCGUCUGUGCCUCCUUAGUGCUGCAGCACAUCCGUGGUAUACGAAUUAGUUUGCAGACAAAGAGGAUCAGAACAGAAGAUCCCAGAGGUCUGAGGUGGCCGUCAGCGAGAUUCACUCCUCAUCCAGCCCCCUCUGCGGUGAAGAAUGUCAGAGCAGACAAGAAGAGAUGGAUUACUGAACAAAGACUCAUUAAUGAUGUCAUAAAAUAAUAAAAUACAUUUAAAAUGA